GGCGAGGAAGUUCAUUUCCUUCAAUAUCAUGCGCACCGCUAUGACCGAGAAACACCUGAUUUCACAUUUUCUUGUAAGGUUUGAAAAAAAAUUAAAUCAAUGUAGAAUACGUGGCCAAUAGUGGGCAGCGGGCGGGUUGUUGAUGGCGGGUGACAACAGAGGGCGAGUGGUUGGUGGUGGGUUACAGCAGCCGGCGAUGGUAAGCGGUGAAGGGUGGCGGCAGCAGAUGGCAGGGGCGUUGUGUUGAUGACGGCAACGUGCAACACUUAACACAAAACGGGGCACGAGGUUCGAUCAAGUACUUCUUACAAAAAGGAACCCACUUUCUCGCGAACUCAGCAG